rnacentral:rRNA from 1 species
CGGGUCUAGUGGCGCACGGGUGCGUAACGCGUGGGAAUCUGCCCUUGGGUUCGGGAUAACAGUUGGAAACGACUGCUAAUACCGGAUGAUGACUUCGGUCCAAAGAUUUAUCGCCCAGGGAUGAGCCCGCGUAAGAUUAGCUAGUUGGUGGGGUAAAGGCCUACCAAGGCAACGAUCUUUAGCUGGUCUGAGAGGAUGAUCAGCCACACUGGGACUGAGACACGGCCCAG